UGGCUCAGUUGGUAGAGCAGGGCACUUGCAACGCCAGGGUUGUGGGUUUGAUUCCCAC
rnacentral:tRNA from 1 species